AAAAAAAUAUUUGUCACAAAUCAGUGACAUUUUGGAGACGAUAGGUGACUAAGUUUUUUAUGUCACAAAGGCGUAGCUGUUUUGUCACAAUAUUAUGACGUUCCAAGUAGUAAUCCAUUUUUGUCACAAUUAGUUACCUAAGAGUGACGAUAAUAAACAAUGUAUUAGCCGUGACAUAUUUGUGACUAUAUUCACGGUUGUCUUUGUGACGAUGUUGUGAUGGAAUAGUUAGUCUCAUACUGUGACAAAAAGACUAGAUAAUUAUGACGAAUUGGUAUAAAAUUAUAACUGGAUUUUUUUAAUAAGUAUGACUAAAAAUUUCUUAAGUACAAGUUUCUUAAACUACAAAAGUUUUAGCAUAAUCGUGAAUCAUGAUUAUAGUGUAUUCAGAAAGGCAUUUUCCAUAGGCAUACAAUUGAAGUGAUUGAGUAUAGUGUACUCAAAAAAGAAAUUUGCCAUAGGCUGACAAUUCUAGGGUCCCAAAAUUGUGCAGGCAUGGUGUAUCGAAGUGCUUACAAUUCUCAACACUGAAUGUUUGUGUGUUCGAGUUGGGUUUGUGGUUAUAAAUAGUUUUCAUGGGUUAGAUUUUUUAUAACAGAAAUUAAAAAUCAUAAUUACAUAUACAUGAGUUCUUCAUCAAACUAUAUUCUUUAUAAGAUAUAGAGUUUAGUCUUUUUAUUGGAUUAAUAAACAUAAAAUAUGUAAUGUAUAGUGUGGGUGACUCAAUCAUGAUACAUGUAAGAGAUGAAUAGAAUUUCUUAACCAAAAAUUUGGGUUUCACUACCAUGUAACGUGAAAGUGAUAAUUCAGUUUAUGCUGAUGUGCAACUAACACUACAAAUUAUUGUUCAAUUAGUGUUGACUUGAAAACAGAAUAUUUAUUGUUCAUGUUAUAUAUAAUAUAUAUAUAUGUAUAUUUAAUUAAAUGAUAAGUAUGAACAACAUAGAAGUUAUGAAUAAAAGUGGCAAUCAAGUGACUAAAACUAUUGAUAUUAAGCUAAAGAGUUAUAUUUGUUCGAGAAUUAUAUUAUCAUAAUGUUUUUUAUUGAAGGAAUCAGUUUUCACUUAUUAGAAUGAAUAUCUAGGUAGAUUUAGAAAGAAAAUCUAAUUAGUUAAAGAAAGAGGAAAGAAAGCCAAAACAAACCAAAUUAUUAUCAAAAUUAAUAGGAGAAUCAAGAAUCCCGGUAAAAGAGGAUAUUAAAUUGGGUUGUUGCCAUCAUCAUCUAAUACCCUAAUAUUUCAACUAAUACAUCAUAUAUAACUAAAUAAAGCACUAACUCCUCUUACACUUCAAUGGGAAUUCCAAUAUCCCCUCUUUCAGUUUUACCCUAAAAACUCUUCUCAGGGAAAAUUAAAGCCGUCCCUCAUUUUUAAUAACUUUUCAUGAUUUCAAAGAAGACAUCACAUGUGGCUAAUCUUAUGUUCUAGAUGCGGCUUUUGGAGAUGGUGAUAAUGACAAUAAGAGCUCCGUAAUACGCCGGUUAAUUAAUCGGGAUCUUGUAAGACACAACAAUUUCUAUUGACAAGGGAACUAUGGAGAUAACAAGACAUGCUUUGAUAAAUCUCUACAAUUGUUUUCAUCUGCUUUUGGGAUCUCCUUUGUUUAGUUUGUUUUUUUUUCUGCUAUGAAUUUAGUCUUUUUUGUCAAUAUUUAUGAUGAUUAAUCAAAUUGGAUUAUGUUGUAAGUUUCUAUGUAUCUCGAUUAUAUAUUUCUGAAAACUUUCAUAAUAAUAAAAAAUAGCUAAAAUGUUGUGAAACUCUAAACUAUUUUCACUAUUAGUGCUUAUUUAGCUAACAAGGAAGGCUAAGAAUAUAAGUGAGCUGUGACCAUACUUCAGUACAAAAUAAUUACAGUUUAUAGACGAGAAAGUAGUAGCUGUUUAGGACAAAAAUGUGACUGGAGUUUAGUAAUAACCAAUUGACGGAACUAAAAAUUUUAAUAGUCAAAUAAUUUGAUGGAUGUGAGUGUAACGGAUUGGUGAUGACCUUGUAGUCUCUAUUUGUGACAGUAUGUUACUGAACUUUCGUUGUAAUCAGCUACGGAACUGGGACAUUCUUAUCGUCACCAAAGGAGACCAUUUUUAGACGAUGUUUUCGUCAAUAAUUGUAACGGUAUUGUUACUUUAAUUUUCGUCACUGCUACUGACAAACUAGUUACAAAAUAAUUUUGUCACAAAUUAUGACGUUUUUUGUUACGGUGAAAAUUUGUGACGUCCUUAUUGUAACUGUUCAUAACCUGUCACAAUUCUGUCACAAUAAUUAUAUUGCUACGAAAUUGUGUUCAUUGCGACCAAAAAAAUUGUCACAAUAUAAUUAUUUUUUUGUAGUGUUAAAACAUGUAUUAUUGUGAAACUGAGGGAGUAUGUUUUUUUUUGGAAAUUGAUACUUUUUAAAUCAAGGUAAAUGAAAGUAGCUCACUUGAAAGAGAAAAAAAGAAGAAGAAAGUAACUCACUUGAAAUCUUUAUGAGUAACAUGUUGACAUUUAGGUUUUGGACUAUCUUAAAGAAUAAUAAUUAAUAUUCCAAAAUGUGACCUCCUAAAAUAAGAUUUUGUUAAAUU